rnacentral:lncRNA from 1 species
AUAAGUAUGUAAAUCAAGUCAGAAGACAAAAUAUACACACCAGAGGAAGAGAUCAUAUAUUGGAAAAAAUUGUGGGAUUACAAUAGUUGAUAUUACAGGAGGAAUAACAUCCAAAUGUAAUGCACAAUCUAAAUAUUCUCUUAACAGCAAAACUUAAACUGACAACAUCCAUCAACAUCCCUACAACUUAACUAAAACUUAACCGAGGAACAACAUCCCUACAACCUAACUAAAACUGAAAACAAACAUCAUCGUCAUCAUCGUGAACCAGAACAUCAUAAUCAUCAUCAUUGUAGUAUACUUGCCAUGCACCCAUGAUUGUUCAUAUAUUUUUUGAAUCUACAAAGAAAAUAACAAAAUGAACCGUUAAUACACAAUACAUUGACAUGAUGCAAAUAGUGACAGGUUGCCCAGCAAAUAAGAAACAUUACUUCUUACAAAGGGUCAUUACUUCUGAAACAUUGGUUGCCCGGCUAGAUUACGACUAUUACAAAGAAAAGUUGUGACCUGAAAGUAUUCAGUUACAACUCAAUAUACUACUUCAGGUCACAAAACAAAGAUAUACAGACUCAGAGAAAAAUAAAUAGAUUUGGUUGUGGCCUAAAAGCAAGACACUAAUAACAUAGGACCUACUUAAGUUGAAGGGUUAAAAGCACAAUAGACACUGCUCAUAUGGAACAGGGAAAGCGACAUAAUGGGAAAUUCAGCAAUGUACGAACCGUGAAAGCAAGAGUUCAUGUGGGUAAUUCAGCAAUUUAUUAAUCAAAGUGGUGGGAGCUCAGUGGUCAGUUUAGCAAUGUACGAAUCAAAAGGGCAAGAGCAUCUAAGAAGAACAUUACUUGCAUUUCCGUCUUCACAACAGUUAAGAUAUGGGGAUCAUAGACAAUUACCAGAACUAUGACUAUGAACACUGCCGUAUCUUGGACAAAUCUACUAGCAGCUCCAGCCGUCCAAGGUGUUGGCCUCCAUCUCGAUAGUGCCGGAACGGAUGAGUGUGGCACCUCACAUUAAAUUACACACAACAAUAGGUACAUCAUUGGGAAGUACAUAAAUAGUUAAAUAAGAGCAGAAAGGGAGGCUGAAAAAUGGUUAGAGCUAAUCUAAGCAAUGAAGGAAUAAACAAAUAAUCACCACAACGGAAAUAGUCUUAGUUGAAGGUAAAACUCAGUGAUGUACUAUGAAUGUAGAGACUGGCACAUUGAAAGGCACUGAAUGGCAUUGAGUAUUUCUUUCUUUGGAAACCUGCGCACAAACAAACAGUGAGCCUCUACUUAACGAAUGACAAACAUGAUGCACAAACAAACAGUGAGCUUCUACUUAACGAAUGACAAACAUGAUGAUUAACAGUGAGCCGCUCCCGGUGUAUAUGUGUGUGUGCUUGCUGCGAGCCUUAGUAUAUGCAUGUUUGUACAUUAAAAUGCAUAAAGCUCAGGUGUAGGUUGCAUCUAAGUGAGGUACUGGGAUUCAGUUUUAUUUUCACUAUGAUGUACAGCGGUAGUAGAUUAGUACCUUUUUUUAGAUUAGUAGAUCAGUACUUGAUAUAGAUGAAUCCUCUGCGUUGACUUGACCCAAGUGCAUAUAUAAUAACUGCAUGCUAUGAGAGGACAAUCACAUAAACAAAUGACAAGAAAAUGUGUACUAUCUUAUGGUGAGUUUUUAGAUGAAGAGGCUAGCAAGACCAAGGAAUUUAACUGGGGAGUUGCAUAAUAGCAUUUCAAACCGAAGGAAGAGAAGGACGUCAUGUAUCGAAAUAUAAUUGGAAACUAACAGUCAGUGGUGGAGCUACAAACAAAAACCUGGGCGGGCCAAAUUAAAAGGAACACGAAUAUUUCAACUCAAGCGAUGGAUGAAGAGCUGCUGCUGAUAAAUCUUUCUCAACUUUACAUCUCUUUUUCUCUUGAAAACCAAAUUGAUUCUGCGUUGAUUAGCCUUGCUUUCCACGACAAUUAUCUAGUACCAAAUUAAGAUGUGUAUUAUCAAUUUAUUGAAUUUCAAAGUGUUAUAACUUAUAACCUACAUUUUAUACGAAAAUUAGUAUUGUCCGAGAGACGAGAGUUUUGGGGGUGCGCAUGUGCUUGUGCAGUAGUGCUCGUCGUCUAGGUUGCUACUCGCCCGGGUGGCCACCGCUACAUGGGUCGCCCUUGGGCGUCCGCACCACUCGGCGCUGCUACUUGCUCCGGCGGUGCGACCGGUGACUCGACCUCCGCGGCUCCGCGCCACCUCUCUGGACCUCCCUGCGGCUGUACGUGUGGCUCGUGCCCUAUCGCCGUUCUGCUACUCUACUGGAUAGGAAGAGGAGUCAAGCAACAGAGGCCAGAGGCCAAGAAAUAAUCGUGAAGAAGCGAUGCUACAUGCAAACAAGGUAGUCGUGAGCUGGGCUACUCGUCUAUCUGUACUACUACAUGUAUGUUUACCCCAAGUGCUGGGCGGGCCAUGGCAUGCUUUUGCCUCACGAAGCUCCGCCAGUGGUAACAGUAUAUCACAUACUACAAGAAACAGUGUAUCAUUUGACAUGUUCAUGAAAUUGAAUGUUUGUUACACCGUAGCAACACACGAGUAUUUAGCUAGUAAUCCAAAUUGUGCAGAAUAGUAAGCGCAUACAACAAUCAGUACAUUAACAGGCAUGGAGAGAAGUAUUUAUCAGUGUUCUCUGAAUUCUGAAUCAUAUCAACAGCAUCAAAGCAACAUCAUAGAAGAAACAAUGUGGAUGAUUAAUUCACCUGCUCACUAAAACAAAGGUGUCCGUGCUUCCUCCAAAACAGGUCCACGUCCUCUAGUAUUUAAGCUGGACGUGAAAGCCACCAUUAGCAAGCUACUACCUCCACCUAAAUAACCUGACCAUCAGACUCCUGAAAAGUGUGAAAUUGCAACAAAAAACUUCGAUUAGUAACUCAUCAAAACUGCCAUACAGAGACGACCUAUUAAGACUGUGUCCCUCCUUAAAUAUUAUAACU